AGCGAACGCUGGCGGCAGGCUUAACACAUGCAAGUCGAGCGGGCACUUCGGUGUCAGCGGCAGACGGGUGAGUAACACGUGGGAACGUACCCUUUGGUUCGGAAUAACGCUGGGAAACUAGCGCUAAUACCGGAUACGCCCUUUUGGGGAAAGGCUUGCUGCCGAAGGAUCGGCCCGCGCCUGAUUAGCUAGUUGGUGGGGUAAUGGCCUACCAAGGCGACGAUCAGUAGCUGGUCUGAGAGGAUGAUCAGCCACACUGGGACUGAGACACGGCCCAGACUCCUACGGGAGGCAGCAGUGGGGAAUAUUGGACAAUGGGCGCAAGCCUGAUCCAGCCAUGCCGCGUGAGUGAUGAAGGCCUUAGGGUUGUAAAGCUCUUUUGUCCGGGACGAUAAUGACGGUACCGGAAGAAUAAGCCCCGGCUAACUUCGUG
rnacentral:rRNA from 1 species